GUUGCCCCUAGAGACAUUGCAGGUGAGGCUGUUAUGUCAUGUGUGUCAGUAGGUGGCAGAGAGGAGCGAGGCUAUGUCUACAAUCAGUAUUCUUACCUGUGAACAUCUAAAUGAUUAGUAGCCUAACUUU